AUACGUAGGUGGCAAGCGUUGUCCGGAAUUAUUGGGCGUAAAGGGCGUGUAGGCGGUUAUUUAAGUCAGCUGUGAAGACUCCGGGCUCAACCCAGAGAUUGCAGUUGAAACAGGGUAGCUUGAGUGCAGGAGAGGACAGUGGAAUUCCUAGUGUAGCGGUGAAAUGCGUAGAAAUUAGGAGGAACACCAGUGGCGAAGGCGGCGGUCGGGAGUGUAACUGACGCUGAGGCGCGAAAGCGUGGGUAGCAAACAUGAUUAGAUACCCUGGUAGUCCACGCCGUAAACGAUGGGUACUAGGUGUAGGAGGUCUCGACCCCUUCUGUGCCGGAGUUAACACAAUAAGUACCCCGCCUGGGGAGUACGGCCGCAAGGCUGAAACUCAAAUGAAUUGACGGGG
rnacentral:rRNA from 1 species